rnacentral:rRNA from 1 species
GAUGAACGCUGGCGGCGUGCCUAAUACAUGCAAGUCGAGCGAACAGACGAGGAGCUUGCUCCUCUGACGUUAGCGGCGGACGGGUGAGUAACACGUGGAUAACCUACCUAUAAGACUGGGAUAACUUCGGGAAACCGGAGCUAAUACCGGAUAACAUGUUGAACCGCAUGGUUCAACAGUGAAAGACGGUUUUGCUGGCACUUUUAGAUGGAUCCGCGCCGGAUUAGCUAGUUGGUAAGGUAACGGCUUACCAAGGCGACGAUGCGUAGCCGACCUGAGAGGGUGAUCAGCCACACUGGAACUGAGACACGGUCCAGACUCCUACGGGAGGCAGCAGUAGGGAAUCUUGCGCAAUGGGCGAAAGCCUGACGGAGCAACGCCGCGUGAGUGAAGAAGGUCUUCGGAUCGUAAAACUCUGUUAUUAGGGAAGAACAAAUGUGUAAGUAACUAUGCACGUCUUGACGGUACCUAAUCAGAAAGCCACGGCUAACUACGUG